GCCCUUCGGGGUACUCGAGCGGCGAACGGGUGAGUAACACGUGAGCAACCUGCCCCAAGCUUUGGGAUAACCCUCGGAAACGGGGGCUAAUACCGAAUAUUACUGCUGGUCGCAUGGCUGGUGGUGGAAAGUUUUUCGGCUUGGGAUGGGCUCGCGGCCUAUCAGCUUGUUGGUGGGGUGAUGGCCUACCAAGGCGACGACGGGUAGCCGGCCUGAGAGGGCGACCGGCCACACUGGGACUGAGACACGGCCCAGACUCCUACGGGAGGCAGCAGUGGGGAAUAUUGCACAAUGGGCGGAAGCCUGAUGCAGCGACGCCGCGUGAGGGAUGACGGCCUUCGGGUUGUAAACCUCUUUCAGCAGGGACGAAGCGAGAGUGACGGUACCUGCAGAAGAAGCACCGGCCAACUACGUGCCAGCAGCCGCGGUAAGACGUAGGGUGCGAGCGUUGUCCGGAUUUAUUGGGCGUAAAGAGCUCGUAGGCGGCUUGUCGCGUCGACCGUGAAAACUUGGGGCUCAACUCCAAGCCUGCGGUCGAUACGGGCAGGCUAGAGUUCGGUAGGGGAGACUGGAAUUCCUGGUGUAGCGGUGAAAUGCGCAGAUAUCAGGAGGAACACCGGUGGCGAAGGCGGGUCUCUGGGCCGAUACUGACGCUGAGGAGCGAAAGCGUGGGGAGCGAACAGGAUUAGAUACCCUGGUAGUCCACGCUGUAAACGUUGGGCGCUAGGUGUGGGGAGCC
rnacentral:rRNA from 1 species